AGAGUUUGAUCCUGGCUCAGGAUGAACGCUGGCGGCGUGCCUAAUACAUGCAAGUCGAACGCACAGCGAAAGGUGCUUGCACCUUUCAAGUGAGUGGCGAACGGGUGAGUAACACGUGGACAACCCGCCUCAAGGCUGGGGAUAACAUUUGGAAACAGAUGCUAAUACCGAAUAAAACUCAGUGUCGCAUGACACAAAGUUAAAAGGCGCUUUGGCGUCACCUAGAGAUGGAUCCGCGGUGCAUUAGUUAGUUGGUGGGGUAAAGGCCUACCAAGACAAUGAUGCAUAGCCGAGUUGAGAGACUGAUCGGCCACAUUGGGACUGAGACACGGCCCAAACUCCUACGGGAGGCUGCAGUAGGGAAUCUUCCACAAUGGGCGAAAGCCUGAUGGAGCAACGCCGCGUGUGUGAUGAAGGCUUUCGGGUCGUAAAGCACUGUUGUAUGGGAAGAACAGCUAGAAUAGGGAAUGAUUUUAGUUUGACGGUACCAUACCAGAAAGGGACGGCUAAAUACGUGCCAGCAGCCGCGGUAAUACGUAUGUCCCGAGCGUUAUCCGGAUUUAUUGGGCGUAAAGCGAGCGCAGACGGUUGAUUAAGUCUGAUGUGAAAGCCCGGAG
rnacentral:rRNA from 1 species